rnacentral:rRNA from 1 species
GUGCAGCAGGCGCGAAACUUUACAAUGUGCGAAGCACGAUAAGGGAACUCUGAGUGCCUCCUAAGGAGGCUGUUCAGGUGUCUAAAAGCACCUGAAGGAAGGGCUGGGUAAGACCGGUGCCAGCCGCCGCGGUAACACCGGCAGCCCAAGUGGUAGCCACGUUUAUUGGGUCUAAAGCGUCCGUAGCCGGCUGGGUAAGUUCCUUGGGAAAUUUGGCUGCUUAACAGUCAAGCUUUCAGGGAAUACUGCUCGGCUUGGGGACCGGGAGAGGUCAGAGGUACUCCAGGGGUAGGGUGAAAUCCAUUAAUCCUUGGGGGACCACCGGUAGCGAAGGCGUCUGACCAGACCGGGUCCGACGGUGAGGGACGAAGGCUAGGGGCGCGAACCGGA